AGGGUUUGAUCAUGGCUCAGAACGUACGCUGGCGGCACGCCUAACACAUGCAAGUCGAACGAAGUAGCAAUACUUAGUGGCAGACGGGUGAGUAACAUGUGGGUAUCUGCCCUUUGGCCUGGAAUAACACGAGGAAACUUGUGCUAAUACCGGAUAAGUCUUUACGGAGAAAGCUUUAUGCACCAUUGGAUGAGCCCGCACUUGAUUAGUUAGUUGGUAGGGUAAUGGCCUACCAAGACUGUGAUCAAUAGCUGAUUUGAGAGGAUGAUCAGCCACAUUGGGACUGAGACACGGCCCAAACUCCUACGGGAGGCAGCAGUGGGGAAUCUUGCACAAUGGAGGAAACUCUGAUGCAGCGAUGCCGCGUGAGUGAAGAAGGCCCUUGGGUUGUAAAGCUCUUUCGUCGGGGAAGAAAAUGACUGUACCCGAAUAAGAAGGUCCGGCUAACUUCGUGCCAGCAGCCGCGGUAAUACGAAGGGACCUAGCGUAGUUCGGAAUUACUGGGCUUAAAGAGUUCGUAGGUGGUUGAAAAAGUUGGUGGUGAAAUCCCAGAGCUUAACUCUGGAACUGCCAUCAAAACUUUUCAGCUAGAGUAUGAUAGAGGAAAGCAGAAUUUCUAGUGUAGAGGUGAAAUUCGUAGAUAUUAGAAAGAAUACCAAUUGCGAAGGCAGCUUUCUGGAUCAUUACUGACACUGAGGAACGAAAGCAUGGGUAGCGAAGAGGAUUAGAUACCCUCGUAGUCCAUGCCGUAAACGAUGUGUGUUAGACGUUGGAAAUUUAUUUUCAGUGUCGCAGCGAAAGCGAUAAACACACCGCCUGGGGAGUACGACCGCAAGGUUAAAACUCAAAUGAAUUGACGGGGGCCCGCACAAGCGGUGGAGUAUGUGGUUUAAUUCGACGCAACGCGCAGAACCUUACCUGGUCUUGACAUCUCGGGAAUCUUCUAGAAAUAGUUGAGUGCCUUCAUCUGAAGGAGCCCGAAGACAGGUGCUGCAUGGCUGUCGUCAGCUCGUGUCGUGAGAUGUUGGGUUAAGUCCCGCAACGAGCGCAACCCUCGCCUUUAGUUGCCAUCAGGUUAAGCUGGGCACUCUAGAGGGACUGCCGGUGUCAAACCGGAGGAAGGUGGGGAUGACGUCAAGUCCUCAUGGCCUUUAUGACCAGGGCUACACACGUACUACAAUGGCAUGUACAAAGGGCAGCAACUUGGCGACAAGUAGCGAAUCUCACAAAGCAUGUCUCAGUCCGGAUCGCAGUCUGCAACUCGACUGCGUGAAGUUGGAAUCGCUAGUAAUCGUAGAUCAGCAUGCUACGGUGAAUACGUUCCCGGGCCUUGUACACACCGCCCGUCACACCACGAAAGUUGGUUGUUCCAGAAG
rnacentral:rRNA from 1 species